rnacentral:rRNA from 1 species
AGGUGAAAAGAACCCCGGGAGGGGAGUGAAAUAGACCUGAAACCAUAUACCUACAAGCCGUAGAAGCCUUUUUAAAGGUGACUGCGUGCCUAUUGAAGAAUGAGCCUGCGAGUUAAUUUAAAUAGCAUGGUUAAAGGAUAAAAGUUCUGGAGCCGUAGCGAAAGCGAGUCUGAAUAGGGCGAUUUUGUUGUUUGGAUUAGACCCGAAACCGGGUGAGCUACCCAUGGCCAGGUUGAAGCCAAGAUAAUAUCUUGGUGAAGGACCGAACCCGUGUAAAGUGCAAAUUGCUGGGAUGAGCUGUGGGUAGAGGUAAAAUGCCAAUCGAACCCGGAGAUAGCUGGUUCUCUCCGAAAUGUAUUUAGGUACAGCGUUAAAUUAGUCUUAGGGAGGUAGAGCACUGGAUGGAUAAGGGGGCGUAAGCCUACCGAGUUCAACCAAACUCCGAAUGCCUUAAGAUGAUGUUUAGCAGUGAGACAGUGGGGGAUAAGCUCCAUUGUCAAAAGGGAAACAGCCCAGAUCACAAGCUAAGGUCCCUAAGUCUGAACUAAGUGGGAAAGGAAGUUAGAAUCCACAAACAGCCAGGAGGUUGGCUUAGAAGCAGCCACCCUUUAAAGAAAGCGUAAUAGCUCACUGGUCGAGGUUUUUAGCGCCUAAAAUGUAACGGGGCUAAAGUUCAGCACCGAAGCUGUGAGUUUCUUAUUUUUAAUAAGAAGCGGUAGGAGAGCGUUGUCAGUGCACUGAAUCUGAAAUGUGAGUUUUGGUGGAGCGCUGAGAAGUGAGAAUGCAGGCAUGAGUAGCGACAAUCGUGGUGAGAAUCCACGACACCGGAAGCCCAAGGUUUCCUACGCAAUGUUGAUCAUCGUAGGGUUAGUCGGGCCUAAGUGGUAGCGUAUAGCGAACACGAUGGACAUCGGGUCAAAAUUCCCGAACCGUUCAUGUUGUGUUUAAAAUAAAGGGGGGACGCAAGAAGGUAAGUAAAGCAUAUCUAUUGGACAUGGUAUGUUUGUUUUCGUAGAUGAUGACCAGAUAGGUAAAUCCGUUUGGUAUUUUAGUUGAGGAAAACAAAAACUAGAGAGCUUAGCUCAAAGGAAUUUUGCUGAUCCUAUGUUGCCAAGAAAAUCCUCGUUAUUAAUAACAUGAGCGACCGUACCGCAAACCGACACAGGUAGGCAGGGAUAAACGUCCCAAGGUGAACGAAAGAACCUUCGUUAAGGAACUCGACAGAUUGACCCCGUAACUUAGGGAGAAGGGGUGCCUGUUAUUUGAUACUGAUUUACUUAGUAAAGGGUAAUAGGCCGCAGUGAAUCGGUCCAAGCGACUGUUUAUCAAAAACAUAGGUCUAUGCUAAACCGAAAGGUGAUGUAUAUGGGCUGACGCCUGCCCAGUGCCGGAAGGUUAAGAGGAGAGGUUAGGAUUUAUCCAAAGCUUUGAAUUGAAGCCCCGGUGAACGGCGGCCGUAACUAUAACGGUCCUAAGGUAGCGAAAUCCCUUGUCAGGUAAGUUCUGACCCGCACGAAUGGCGUAACGACUUGGACAUUGUCUCAACGAAGGACUCGGUGAAAUUGCAGGACCAGUGAAGAUGCUGGUUACCUACGACAGGACAAAAAGACCCCGUGGAGCUUUACUGCAGCUUGGCAGUGAUUUAGGCUUAUAAACGUGUAGGAUAGGCGGGAGACUUUGAAGCUUUAACGCUAGUUAGAGUGGAGUCACCCUUGAAAUACCGCCCUUUUAUAAUUUUGGAUCUAACUUUAUUUUUAUGAAGGACCCUGCCUGGUGGGCAGUUUGACUGGGGCGGUCGCCUCCUAAACAAUAACGGAGGCGCCCAAAGGUUCCCUCAAGGUGGAUUGGAAAUCACCUUUCGAGUGUAUUGGCAUAAGGGAGCUUGACUGUGAGACCUACAAGUCGAG